UUGACCCCGGGUUAUAGAGGAAUAACCGCUGAAGUUCCCCCCCCCAGUUACCCCGAGGGG
rnacentral:rRNA from 1 species